rnacentral:rRNA from 1 species
CAGAGUUUGAUCCUGGCUCAGAUUGAACGCUGGCGGAAUGCUUUACACAUGCAAGUCGAGCGGCAGCGCGGGGCAACCUGGCGGCGAGCGGCGAACGGGUGAGUAAUAGAUAGGAACGUGUCCGGGAGUGGGGGAUAACUAGCCGAAAGGUUAGCUAAUACCGCAUAUUCUCUGUGGAGGAAAGCGGGGGCUCGCAAGACCUCGCGCUCGCGGAGUGGCCUAUCUCCGAUUANCUAGUUGGUGAGGUAAAGGCUUACCCAGGCGACGAUCGGUANCUGGUCUGANAGGAUGAUUCCCCCCCCUUGGGACUGACACCCAGCCCAGACUCCUACGGGAGGCAACAUAGGGGGAUAUUCGGUCAUCGGGGGCUACCCUGAUGAGACACAUGCCACCCGCGCGCCCGAAUGGCACCAGAGUACCACUCUCUAGU